CAUAGCUUUAGUUUCUAUUUCAUUUAUUUAUUUACUGGUUCUGUUUCAGUACUUCUCUUCAUACUACAACUUUGGAGACACAUCAGCAAAUGUUCAUUGCAGGCUGGUUUCAGACAUACACGUAACGAAUGAAGACACUGUGAAACAGAUAGAAUUCAGAGACUCUCAGAAUGCUUCUUAUGGCCUUGAUCUAGAGAGGAAAUAUGCUGGGUCUGGAAAGGAACAUGUAUUGUUUUUGCAGUACUCUCAGAAUGCUUGUUUACUUGGUGUUCAUCUUAUUACAGGUGAUGGAUAAACCUUUUCGCUUUUCUUUAUUAACUCUUGAAUAAAACAUAUUUAAACAAAAA